GUUAGCACAUCUACUACAUUGAACAAGCCCGAUGUCUGAUCUCAGAAGCUAAGCAGGAUCGGGCCUGGUUAGUACUUGGAUGGAACACCACUUAGGAAGACCAGGUGCUAUAG
rnacentral:rRNA from 1 species